rnacentral:rRNA from 1 species
GACGAACGCUGGCGGCGUGCUUAACACAUGCAAGUCGAACGGAAAGACCCUGCUUUUGUGGGGUGCUCGAGUGGCGAACGGGUGAGUAACACGUGAGUAACCUGCCCUUGACUUUGGGAUAACUUCAGGAAACUGGGGCUAAUACCGGAUAGGAGCUCCUGCUGCAUGGUGGGGGUUGGAAAGUUUCGGCGGUUGGGGAUGGACUCGCGGCUUAUCAGCUUGUUGGUGGGGUAGUGGCUUACCAAGGCUUUGACGGGUAGCCGGCCUGUGAGGGUGACCGGCCACAUUGGGACUGAGAUACGGCCCAGACUCCUACGGGAGGCAGCAGUGGGGAAUAUUGCACAAUGGGCGGAAGCCUGAUGCAGCAACGCCGCGUGCGGGAUGACGGCCUUCGGGUUGUAAACCGCUUUCGCCUGUGACGAAGCGUGAGUGACGGUAAUGGGUAAAGAAGCACCGGCUAACUACGUG